GACGAACGCUGGCGGCGUGCUUAACACAUGCAAGUCGAGCGGAAAGGCCCUUCGGGGUACUCGAGCGGCGAACGGGUGAGUAACACGUGAGUAACCUGCCCCAGGCUUUGGGAUAACCCUCGGAAACGGGGGCUAAUACCGGAUAUGACUUGACCUCGCAUGGGGUUGGGUGGAAAGGUUUUCGGCUUGGGAUGGGCUCGCGGCCUAUCAGCUUGUUGGUGGGGUGAUGGCCUACCAAGGCGACGACGGGUAGCCGGCCUGAGAGGGCGACCGGCCACACUGGGACUGAGACACGGCCCAGACUCCUACGGGAGGCAGCAGUGGGGAAUAUUGCACAAUGGGCGGAAGCCUGAUGCAGCGACGCCGCGUGAGGGAUGACGGCCUUCGGGUUGUAAACCUCUUUCAGCAGGGACGAAGCGUGAGUGACGGUACCUGCAGAAGAAGCACCGGCCAACUACGUGCCAGCAGCCGCCGUAAUAC
rnacentral:rRNA from 1 species